UACAGAGGGUGCAAGCGUUAAUCGGAAUUACUGGGCGUAAAGCGUGCGUAGGCGGUUAUCUAAGUCGGGUGUGAAAGCCCCGGGCUCAACCUGGGAAUUGCAUUCGAUACUGGAUAGCUAGAGUUCGGCAGAGGGAAGUGGAAUUUCCGGUGUAGCGGUGAAAUGCGUAGAUAUCGGAAGGAACAUCAGUGGCGAAAGCGACUUCCUGGACCAGAACUGACGCUCAGGCACGAAAGCGUGGGGAGCAAACAGG
rnacentral:rRNA from 1 species